rnacentral:tRNA from 1 species
ACUUUCAAAGGAUAAUAGUAAUCCAAUGGUCUUAGGAGCCACACAUCCCGGUGCAACUCCAGGUGAAAGUA